CUGCUUUGCAGCGAUGGAGCUGCGAUUCCUCCUCCGUCGAGCGGCCAUCUCUCGACGUCCAACCGGGGACCAGAGCUUCACAUCGUCGUCCCCAACCUCACUAUGUUCUUCGUGUUCCAAGAGGAGCUCCGGCGAGAGAGAAAAGGAGGAGAGAAGACGACUGCAUCUCCGAUCGGGUUUCCUAUACCGGUCACGACGGCAAGCGUGACUGGUAUGGAAAGCUCUGUCUCAUCGUCCCCAACAUGACUGUGCUGUUAGAUUUCCAAGACAAGCUCGGAGAAGGGAGAAUCGAGCAGAAGAAGGAUUUCUGGGUUCGCCGGCGAUCUUCAAAUUCCGGCCACGGCGGUGAGCAUGAGCGGUGCUGGUAGCUUUGCCUUAACUCCCUGAACAUCGUUGUGCUAUUGGUUUUUGAAGAGAAGCCUUGAGGAGGGAGAAUCGAACCUCAGAAGUUUUUUGGGUUUUCCAGCCGUGUUCUUCAUUUUCCGGCGAGCUUCAAGUAUCAAUUCAGGUAUCAAAGUUGGUCCAUUUGUCGAGCUCUACCUGUUUAUAUGCUUGAAUUCGAGUUUGAUUAAGUUUUGGAGAAGUUGGUGUUUGGGCAAACGUCGGCCGCCGUGAGUACUGCUGUGUACGGCGGUGGCAGGUGGUGGUUCUUGUAGUUUGUGGUUUUUCAUAGUAUACAGAUUGUGGAGGGAUGCUUCGAUAUGUAUUUGAAUGGCAGGAGAUUGAAAAUUGGAUGAAGUGGGUUUUGGGGCAGUGUUGUUCUGUGGCGGAAAUGAUGGUUGAUAGUUCUGGGUUUUGGUUUAUGUUUUGGAUGAAAUUGCAGGACAUGAUGUUGGUGUUGUAUAUGCUUGAAGUCCAGAAAUGGAAGAGUUGGGAAGUAGACGAUUGAGGUCGAAUUGUGUUGUUGGAAUGAAGAACAGUAGUGUUCUUCUAUUCAUUGAAGUGCUUGAAUUUAAGAGUUUGAAAGUUGAUAUCGGCAGAAUAGAACAUGGGUGUCCAGAGUAGAUUUGGAGUCAAGUUGGUACUUGGAGCGCAAUUUGGAUAUGACGACGGCAUUGAGCGUAAAGGCGAAUAAGAAUGUGGAAAUAAAUUGAAAUGAGUACAUUUGAUUCGAAAAUCAUUGGAAAAGAAAAAGAAUUCGGUACAAGGAUCGAAUGCGAGUAGCUAGAUUGCAAAAGCAGAAGGAUAAGGAUAUCAUAAUGCGUGUUGCAGAGUUACUAAUUUUAGCUAGUGUCAAAAAUAGCGCUUGGAUUCCAGGUUUGUACGAAGACACGUGUUUCUAGAAGACUAGCGGACGUGUACAAGAAUAGAAAAGAGUUACAGA